AUUGAACGCUGGCGGCACGCCUAACACAUGCAAGUCGAGCGGCAGCGAGACUAGUAGCAAUACUAGUUGUCGGCGAGCGGCGGACGGGUGAGUAACACGUAGGAAUCUGCCCUUAAGCGGGGGAUAACCAAGGGAAACUUUGGCUAAUACCGCAUAAUCUCGAGAGAGCAAAGCUGCCCGCAAGGGUGGCACUUGAGGAGGAGCCUGCGUCCGAUUAGCUAGUUGGUGGGGUAAUGGCCUACCAAGGCGAUGAUCGGUAACUGGUCUGAGAGGACGACCAGUCACACUGGGACUGAGACACGGCCCAGACUCCUACGGGAGGCAGCAGUGGGGAAUAUUGGACAGUGGGGGCAACCCUGAUCCAGCGAUGCCGCGUGAGUGAAGAAGGCCUUCGGGUCGUAAAGCUCUUUAGGUUGGGAAGAAGUGUAUUGGCUGAAUAAUCCAGUACAUUGACGGUACCGACAGAAUAAGCACCGGCAAACUCUGUGCCAGCAGCCGCCGUAACAC
rnacentral:rRNA from 1 species